rnacentral:lncRNA from 1 species
CAUCAUUAACAUCAUAUUCAUCACAUCAUAUACAUUCAUACAAUAAUUCAUCAAUGAUAAACAACAUCAUAUAACAACAUAAUCAUCACAUCAUAGACAUCAUCAUAUAACAACAUAAACAACAACGAUUAAUAAAUAUUAAUAUUUCACAUAGUUCUUCGUUAACAACUCAUUGAUAAAUGACAACUUAACGACAACGACAAUGCGACAUCAGCGACUUCGACUUGACAAUGCAACUACAACUUCUUAAUCAUGCAUGUGGUACCAACCAGGGCAUUAAGUCCUCAACAUAA